UACGUAGGGUGCGAGCGUUAAUCGGAAUUACUGGGCGUAAAGCGUGCGCAGGCGGUUAUGCAAGACAGGUGUGAAAUCCACGAGCUCAACUUGGGAACUGCACUUGUGACUGCAUAGCUAGAGUACGGUAGAGGGGAGGGGAAUUCCGCGGGUAGGAGUGAAAUGGGUAGAUAUGCGGAGGAACACCGAUGGCGAAGGCAGCUCCCUGGACCUGUACUGACGCUCAUGCACGAAAGGGUGGGGAGCAAACAGG
rnacentral:rRNA from 1 species